rnacentral:lncRNA from 1 species
ACUCACCCCUGCGCCAUCCUCGCUGUCACAGUGCCUGAUGCCCCCAAACUGGAAGUGUGCCUGCCAUUGCCUUUCCCUGCCUGGUUUCCAGCAGUCCCAUCACAUGGCUCCAAAAACAGCAUCAGGGUUUUUUUCUAGAACCCAAAUUUAUAAACAAGGGGCAAUGUCCUCUGACAAGACUGGGCAUCCAGUUCCAAUCCAAAGGCUGCCCCUUUGACCAGGCCCAUCUUCUCCACCUCACAUCAGACAGCCAAUCGGCUGCCCAGACCUCGAAACCUCAGUAAACUAGAAGGAAAUGGACCUUGGCAAACGUGUGUCAGGAGAGGAUGACUUGGAGGUGUCCACCGUGUUUCUUACUGAAGAUGUCUAGAAGUCAAUUGGGGUCAAGGAACAAGCCUCUACUCACAUGCAUGUGGGCAAAUGAAGUCACAGAACAAAUAACCUACCCUGCAUCCAGGCACAGAGUCCAGGGACACCCCCUGCUGCUGCCUCACCUAAGAGAAAGUGGCCCAAGAAGCACUGGCCCGGUGCCUGCUGAUGCCAGGAGCCCUCUGCUACUGCCUGACACAAGCAUCCUUCGCUUCCCCCUCCCAGGCCCUCCCCGAAAACGUGGGCCACAGAUACCACUCCCUAUGCCACUGAGCCCCACAUUUCCCAUCCCCCAAGCCACUCCCACCAGCCCCAGAGCUUUCCUACAUUUAUGAUUUGUCCAAAAAUGUGAUGCCCUUCAGCCCCCAGAAGGUCAUCCUCCAGGCUGUGAUCAUCACACAGGGGGUCCCGCAUGGGGUCCUCACAGGCCUUCAACCCAGCACAAAUCGUGGCCUGGUUUGACCUUUGAAAUACCUCAACAUCUAAAAUUCAGAGCUUUUUUGGAAUAUUUAUUUUCCAUAGAUAUAAUUCUUUCAAAUAAAUUCCUUAGAAAACA